GAUUAUGGCUCAGGACGAACGCUGGCGGCGUGCUUAACACAUGCAAGUCGAACGGGGAUUAGUUGAUAGAGAGCUCGGCAGGAAAUUGAUUAAUUCGAGUGGCGGACGGGUGAGUAACGCGUGAGCAACCUGUCCCAGACAGGGGGAUAACACUUGGAAACAGGUGCUAAUACCGCAUAAGACCACGGGAUCACAUGGUUCUGGGGUAAAAGGAGCAAUCCGGUUUGGGGUGGGCUCGCGUCCGAUUAGCCAGUUGGCGGGGUAACGGCCCACCAAAGCGACGAUCGGUAGCCGACCUGAGAGGGUGAACGGCCACAUUGGAACUGAGAGACGGUCCAAACUCCUACGGGAGGCAGCAGUGGGGAAUAUUGGGCAAUGGGCGAAAGCCUGAACCCCAGCAACGCCGCGUGAGUGAAGAAGGCCUUCGGGUUGUAAAGCUCUGUUAUAGUUGACGAAGGAAGUGACGGUAGGCUAUAAGGAAGCCCCGGCUAACUACGUGCCAGCAGCUGC
rnacentral:rRNA from 1 species